UACAGAGGGGGCAAGCGUUGUUCGGAAUUACUGGGCGUAAAGGGCGCGUAGGCGGCCUUCUAAGUCGAACGUGGAAUCCCCGGGCUCAACCCGGGAACUGCGUCCGAUACUGGAAGGCUUGAAUCCGGGAGAGGGAUGUGGAAUUCCUGGUGUAGCGGUGAAAUGCGCAGAUAUCAGGAGGAACACCUAUUGCGAAGGCAGCUCGCUGGGACGUAACUGACGCUGAGACGCGAAAGCGUGGGGAGCAAACAGG
rnacentral:rRNA from 1 species